UAGAGGCAAGUCGGCCAAAUGAUGUGCCUCUAUAGCAAAUUUUUUUGUAGUGGGAUAUGGCUGAGCAAUUGAAGGCUUCAUAGCCAAAACGAUGUCGGAGAUGUCAACGAGCAUACGGUUAAAUCUAGGGUCUCUCUCUCAUCUAAUCUUCUAUUUGUCUAUUGCCGGAAUUUCAUUGUCGGAGAUGUCAUGCUCGCUGUCGUAAUCUUCUAAGCUCGAUGACUUAGGGUUUACCUACCCUUGAUUGAUCGUCCGUCUGUGCCACACGAAACUUCCAAAGUUAAUUCUUUCUCCUUUGUGACUUAUGGGUUCUAAUUCAUUUUUUAUUUUUUUGCGAUUUCUCAGUUCAUAUGAAGCAAGAUCAACGUAAUAAGGUUUUUCUUUCUUUCCAUCGAGUUUCUAAUUCAUUUUUUUUUUUUGCGAUAUUUGAGUUAAGAUGAAGCAAGAUCAAGGUUUUUAUUUCUUUUGCUUCUCUCUGUCUUCAUUUAUUUUUUUAUUUUCUUUCUAUUCAUUUUUGUGUGUGUCAGAUUUUCUGAAAUUUGAAUGUUUAUGAAGUUGUUGAUUUAAUUUUUACUGUUAAGUGUUUUUUCCACUGUGAAUUUGGCGCGUUUAGAAUUGGAUUUUGGUUUUUUUCCCUGCAGAUGAACUGCCGUUUUUAAUGCUUGUUGUUUUGCAUUUUUUGUUGCUUGUUUCCCAUAUGAAACCUAAUUUCAUAUGAGUUCUUGAUUUUUCUGUUCAUAUUUUCGUUCUUAUUCCUUUUCAAAGACUGCUCUAAUGCGAAUUGAGAGAAUGGACCACGGUUUCUGAUACAUUUUUUUUUUGGUGAUUUAUGUAUUAGGCUGCUUCUUUUCUACAACAAGCAGCAAGAUCACCAUAAGGGUUUCAAUUUGAUGAAGUGUGAUUGUGAAGGAGAAGAGGAAGCCUAGAUCAGAAAGCAACCAUGGCCUAGGGGACUUUGAUCCGACUUAAAGCAAAGUAAAGUGGUAUUCUUCUAAUUUGAUAUUUGUUAUUUUAAAGCCCUAAUUUUUCAGGUUUAGAGUUUUAUUUAAUUUUUCUUCCUUUAUAUAUGUGUAUUUAUACACCCAACUACUCUGAGGAAGGAAGAGAUUGCUAUUAUUGUUCAGCUUUUAACCUCGUUGUUUCUGCAAAACGAUGACCAAACAAUGCUUCUAUCUUGAUGAAAUACGGAGCACUAUAAGUCUCUCUUGCUUAUUGUUCAUAUUUAUCCAAGGAUUUAAAUAUUCAUAGUUUGGAGUAGAAUUUAGUUGAUGGGUCAUCUGAAAUGCUCUUUAUUUUAUUCAUUUGUAUGGUUAAAUUAAGUGAUGAUUCUGCAUCUUUUCUGGUUAAUGGGUUUAUAUAUGUGUGUAAACUAGCUGCUGUGAGCCUGUGAGUGUGUACAAUUUGACAACCUAAGGUUAGUUUUGUUGUUUGUCAUGGAAUGUGUUUAUGGUGAAAGAUGAUAAGAAUUAGUUUGAAGUGGAAGAUCUACGAGGUCCAAGUGAAGGAUAGUAGGUUUACAAGAUUAUUAGAAGGGACUGCGAACAUAGGGGUUAGAAAAGGGUUACUUUACUAGAGAGAUGUUUUAGUGAAGAUAGAGAAGAGAGUGUCAAAAGCUAUGAGAAAGAGUAAGGGAAGAUGAUUUAGUGGCAUAGGAGGGAGGUAAGAGUUGUGUAGGGAAUCGGAAGGAGGAUAGAGCGAAAGAGGCAAAUGAGAGCCAAGGACCAAAUUGUUAGUUGGUUGCUUGUUUUAUGAAUAUUGUUUGUAGCUCUAGUUGAGUUAGUUGCAGCCCAGUUUAGUUAGUUUGUAGCAUGGGCAACUGGAAUUGCUAUUUGUGGAUAAUAUCAAUAUCAUUAAUUACUUAUGGGAUGUAGUAAGAUAAGGGGAAAGUUAAAUACUGAAUUGCAAGAGUUAAUAGGGGAAACGAGAAGGAACAGAUAGCUGGAGUUUAUGUGAGGUUUAUUUGAGUUUCAAACUCAAUUAAGAGUUUGUUUCUGAUGUGUAUAAUAGUAGAUUGAUCUCAUAAAAGGGUAGCAUAUAUUGGAAGGUGAUAUAAUGUGGAAACCUUUUGAGCUUAAGAAUGAUGCAAUAUUAACAUCUCAUCACCUAGCAUAUUUAAUUUUAUUAAUGCAUGGUGGUUCCCAUUAACAAGAAGGAUGGUCCUCCCUACAUGUUGCCAUAAGACAUCGCAUAAGUCGUGAUACUUAAUUUUGUGGCUUAACGAUUAAAUGAGUUAAACCGCUCUUUUGGAAUAUCAAAUCUAGUAUUUAAUAUCCAAAACUUGGAUCUUACGUAUGUGAUAUAAUUUUGCAAAUAGCACUUGAAUCAAGGGAAAAUCAUCAAUUUUCUAGCAUGACUUGAAAUUAGCAAAUCAUUAUUGUAUGAUUAUGUGCUGGUAAAAUGUUUUUAAGGGAUAGAAGUAGCAAUUUUCAUGGGCUUUUGAAGCUCCCUUUACUUGAGUUGUUGUUUUUGUGGUGCAAACUGGAGGUGUCGUCUUCUCUUUAUAUUCUUUCUUGUGAUAGUUACUCAUACAAUAUAUGUUUCUCUCUCAAACUUCUUUUUCCAAAAUAAGUUUGCUUUGGUUGUGGGUCACUUAUACUUAGAGUUCUAUUAUCGUAAUUAAUCUGAAUGAUGUUCUCUAUGUAUAUAGAACACAAUAGGUUGCUUUAAUUAAGGAAUUGCUUUAGGUUAUACUGAACUUCGAACCAUGCUAAGAGUUAAUAGAUACCAUUUUUAAUUUUAUGCUAGAAAAAUGAAGAGCGUAACUUGCUUCAAUUUUAUGUUCUGUUUUUUUUUUUUUUUUUUUGCUUUUUAUAAGAUUUAAAUCAUUACGAUGAACAACUACUUAUACAAUUUUGUUUGAUUUGUUAUUUGCAAUAACUUGAAUUAAACAUACAAGGAAGUCGGUCUUUCUGAAGUAGUUUAACGGAGGCCAGUCUCAAUCUUAAAUUCCUGAAUACUAAGGGCUUAUAGUUAGGAUUGCAUGUUAGACUAAUCUGAACAACUCAAGUACUGAGGCUAGAUUAUGGUGUUUUGUUUUUGUGUCUUAUAUAGUAUUUAGUUAUGGUCAUUUAUUUAGGUAUCUUAAGACACUUAGUUAUGUAGGAGCUACUCUUGCUUUGCUUUUAUUAGAGUUCGCUUCAUGCACUUCUUUUUGUAGUUUAGUGGUGCGUGGCUUUUAUCUUUAUAUAUCAAGAAUGAUGUCUUCUUUAUUUGCAUUGCAAUCUGCCUAGCUUUUACAAGAGACUCCUCGGAUGGUUUACCUUACUACUUGCAGUGUUUAAUUACUUGUUGCUUGUGCUUAAAAUCCUUCUUUUUAGUGUGGGUCUUGCUUAUGCCUUGAAUGUAUUGGUGACAUUUUCUUUGCAAUGGAGAUCGAUAUACCGGACUAUCGGUAACCUUGCCUCUUGCUUUAAGUUGCUUUUGUGAUUUUUUUACUUGAAGCUUUAAAAGGCGGUAUAUAAGCAAGGUUUAAAAUUACUUUGGGUUAUUUUUAUUUGAGGUUAGACAAGGAGGUCUUUAAACAAGGGUUAGAGGGAUUGAGUUCAAGGGAAAACGAUAUUGUUUAAACUACUGGACUCUUAUUGAGUUGGAUUAGAACUCUUUAUUUACUGUUUUGGGGAAAGAUGCAUUGAUACUUCAACGCAUAUUGUUCUUUUUGGGCAUAUUCUUUCCUUAGAAUCAAUGUUAUUUCCUAGAAUAUGUAGUGAUUAUAUUCCCUUAUAGUACAAACCCUUGCUUUGCAUGCUAAGAAUACGCUCCUGCUAAGUCGAAGAUGCGCAAAUAAAUGCCUUACAUGCAUGCAACUAUUUUCUGGUGUUCGUGUGUUUUUUGGGUUCUGAGAAUGAUGUUCAGUUUAGGUUGAAGGGCCUAAGCUAGACUACAUAUUUCAAUAUUGUUAUAGCCACGAGGAAAAACACCUAUAUGUGUAUAUUGUUCUUGCUUUUUAGAAGUUCAAACAGUUAUCCGAACUUAUUUUCUACUGGAACGCCUUCGCUCUUUUAAGACAAGCAAUGGGUAUUUAGCAUUUCUUUUGAUUCAUCAAGGUGUUCCUUUGUUUUUGUGGGCAAAUCUCUCGAAUUUGUUAAUGAUAAGACCUUUCGAAUAUCUCUCGAGUUUGUUGCAUAAUAGUCCCUUUAUUUUGAUCUCUCUCAUAUGAGGACCCAAAGAGAUAUGUCAUGUGUGUCUCUUUCAGGUUGUAGCUUGUAACUAGGGAAUCACCUCUUUCCCACCUGACUUCUCUAAUUAUUGUGAUUGAUAUUUCAAAACUGCAUGUCAUUAAGGGUCUUCCACAGCUUAUCUUUGUUCGUGCGAGCUACACCAUUGAGGUAUUCUAUCGCCUUGCUUCACUUCCGCACCCCAUCCCCAUCUCUACACUGACUGCAUAUAGUACACCUCCUACCUGUUUGAGUGAUUCUUUUUUAUUUCCAUGAAGAAUGUAGAAGCAGAAAGGAUAUAUGUAGACCAUGUCACACAUCUUAAACCAACUGAUGGCGGUUCUGCGGCCACCCAAUGUGAGCCCAGCUGCCUAAUUUUCCUUUUGACAACAUAGGGAUAAAACAUAUAGAAAUAGGUCUUCUAGUUUUGCUUCUUUCAAAUUGCUUUUUGUUGCAGUGGCUGCUCAUUUGACUGGUAUCCACAGUGCGAUAAAGAUGCUCAAUAGCCGUGUUAGAGUGCUUCUCCAGUAUCUUGUUUCUAUGCAGAAAGGUUUGUUAUGUGUUCGUUUGACCUUCUCCAAAGGGGUAGGCAGUGGGAUGCAGGAUGAGAUUGAACCCCGAGCAUAUGAGGAAGCAAUCUCCAGGCACUGGGUUGUAAAAUCCCAAAUAUGAUGAGAUUAUGAAGAGCAAAAAGCAAAGCACUAUUGCUAUUGUGGAAUAUGUGAAUUUAUAAUGUAUGAGUAUCUGUUCCUUCUUCACUCCCCUUUUUACAUAUAUUUUUGGUACACCUAGUUAGUAUCUAUAUUAAAAUCUAUGUUGUAAAAGCAGUUUUUAGAGAGGAAUGAAUACUAUCAAGUUACACCUCCUGCACAAGACCUGAAUGUGGGUGCCCCCUUUUACUAUUGUUUUCUAUAUCUAACUGGCUGUAAUUUGUCACAGAAAGUAAGAACCAACCUUAUUUAGAAGUUAUAUGUUUGUUAUCGUGGAAUAGAUAUAUAUUUGAAUGGUUCCUACC